AACCGGCGACCUUCUUGCUGCGAGGCAACGAUGCUUCUGGACAGAGAUGCUACAACGAGCUUUUGUUCUGAAAUCGUUCUGAGAAAUUUCUGUUUUCAUCAGCUGGAAGUGUUUUUGGUUCCUACAAUGUUAAAGGUAGGAUAAUGUCUUUUUGAAGACUUUAAAAAAUGUUUUGCAAUAACAUUGUUUGACUAUUGUUACCUUUAAAAAGUCCUUUCUUUGUUAUCAGGCAACAUUGUGAGAAUGUUUCACAGAAUAACGUUUUAUGAUGUGUUACCUCAACAACAUCCUGAGAAUACUGAUGGAUUGUUGUGAGAACAUUUAUCUUGAGCUGAUUAAACACUGAUCUAGACUGAA